rnacentral:rRNA from 1 species
GACGAACCGUGCGAACGUUAUUCGGAAUCACUGGGCUUAAAGCGCGUGUAGGCGGAUGAGCACGUCUGUCGCUGAAAUCCCCCGGCUCAACCGGGGAACGGGCGCGGAUACGGCUCGUCUCGAGGGGCGUAGGGGGACCUGGAACUUCCGGUGGAGCAGUGAAAUGCGUUGAGAUCGGAAGGAACGCCCGUGGCGAAAGCGAGGUCCUGGACGCCUACUGACGCUGAGACGCGAAAGCCAGGGGAGCGAACGGG